rnacentral:rRNA from 1 species
GACGAACGCUGGCGGCGUGCCUAACACAUGCAAGUCGAACGGAAACGCCCUGCCUUUUUGCGCUGCUCGGGUGGCGGACGGGGAAGUAACACGUGAGUAACCUGCCCUUCACUUUGGGAUAACUUCAGGAAACUGGAGCUAAUCCCGGAUAGGAUCUCCCGCUGCAUGGUGGGCGUUGGAUAGUUUCGGCGGUUGGGGAUGGACUCGCGGCUUAUCGGCUUGUUGGUUGGGUAGUGGAUUACCAAGGCCUUGACGGGUAGCCGGCCUGGGAGGGUGACCGGCCACAUUAGGACUGAGAGACGGCCCAGACUAGUACGGGAGGCAGCAGUGGGGAGUAUUACACAAUGGGAGGAAGCCAGAUGCAACAACGCCGCGCGCGGGAUGACGGCCUUCGGGUAGUAAACCGCAGUCGCUUGAGACGAAGCGUGAGUGACGGUACUGGGUGAAGAAGCACCGGCUAACUACGUG